CAGGGAAUCUUGCACAAUGGGCGAAAGCCUGAUGCAGCGACGCCGCGUGGGGGAUGAAGGCCCUAGGGUCGUAAACCCCUUUCAGCAGGGACGAAGAUGACGGUACCUGCAGAAGAAGCCCCGGCCAACUACGUGCCAGCAGCCGCGGUAAGACGUAGGGGGCGAGCGUUGUCCGGAUUUAUUGGGCGUAAAGAGCUCGUAGGCGGUUGCGUAAGUCGGAUGUGAAAACUCAGGGCUCAACCCUGAGACGCCAUCCGAUACUGCGCUGACUUGAAUCCAGUAGGGGAGUGCGGAAUUCCUGGUGUAGCGGUGAAAUGCGCAGAUAUCAGGAGGAACACCCAUGGCGAAGGCAGCACUCUGGGCUGGUAUUGACGCUGAGGAGCGAAAGCAUGGGUAGCGAACAGGAUUAGAUACCCAAGUAGUCCCUGAGCGGGCUGGCAAGGCGCAU
rnacentral:rRNA from 1 species